UGGCCUGUUGCAUUCGAUGCUCGAACUUUAUAGAUUUGCAGUAAAUGAGAAAACUUGAAGAAAGGACAUUUUGUAAAAAUGUAUAAAACCUAGUGUUACAGCUAGCUGCAUAUUUCACUUGUAUGCAAGUUGCAUUAAAUUACAUUAAAUUGAACUAAACUAAAAGACACAAUAGUUAAAAUUCAGUGACAUAAAAGGAAUAGAG
rnacentral:lncRNA from 1 species